rnacentral:lncRNA from 1 species
GGUUUUUUUGUGUUUUUUUUGUGGUGUUUUGUCUGUUUUCAUUGUUUGGGUUGGUUUUGGUGGUCUGGGUUUUUUUGUGUGGUGUGGCUGUUUUGGAUAAGGGGGUGUUUGCCCCCAUGACCAUGACUUUUUGGUGACCUCGCAGAACAAGGUCCAGAUCAUGGUGUGAUCUGAUAAAGGCUGCUGGGAGGCUUUGCCCGGAGCAGGAUGCUGGGAUCAACUCUGAGGGACGUGGUAUUUUGGGCAACCCCCCUGCACUCGCCYCCCAAAGAGGAGAGUUAGAAUGCCACUGAAAGAAAGGAGUGGAGAGGAAUGUUCUGUGAAAGCUCAGAGAUUUCACCCAUGUCUUCAGGACUCUGAGAGCAGAGUCAGCAAGGGCAGCAACCCAACAGCAGAGGACUGGCACUAGGGAGGUGGUGGUGUGUGACAGCAGCCUAGAAGUUCGUUGGGAGCAAAGCCAAGAAACCUACGUUGUGCAAGAAGAGAAGAGGAGCAAGGAAGAAAGCAGUUUGCAGCAUGGACAGGUCUAGGUAGCACAACAAGUCUGGCCCAAAC